UUGGAGGGCAAGUCUGGUGCCAGCAGCCGCGGUAAUUCCAGCUCCAAUAGCGUAUAUUAAAGUUGUUGCAGUUAAAAAGCUCGUAGUUGAAUUUCGGGAUCAGAGUGUCGGUCGUGCCUCGGUACGCACUGGUAUUAUUGGUUCCUACCUUCUGAAGAACCGCGAUGUCAUUAAUUUGGUGUCGUGGGGAAUCAGGACUGUUACUUUGAAGAAAUUAGAGUGUUUAAAGCAGGCUUACGCUUGAAUACAUUAGCAUGGAAUAAUGAAAUAGGACGUUUGAUUCUAUUUUGUUGGUUUCUAGGAUUGACGUAAUGAUUAAUGGGGAUAGUUGGGGGCAUUAGUAUUCAAUUGUCAGAGGUGAAAUUCUCGGAUUUAUUGAAGACUUACUACUGCGAAAGCAUUUGCCAAGGAUGUUUUCAUUAAUCAAGAACGAAAGUUAGGGGAUCGAAGACGAUCAGAUACCGUCGUAGUCUUAACCAUAAACUAUGCCGACUAGGGAUCGGAUGAUGUUAAUUUUUUAAUGACUCAUUCGGCGCCUUACGGGAAAC
rnacentral:rRNA from 1 species